rnacentral:lncRNA from 1 species
CCCCACUCCCACCGCCCCCUCCGCGGCCGUCCCCACUCCAAUCUCCGCGACCCCUACACUGCCCCUCGGCUAUUCCCCACCCCUAUCACUGUGCUUGGCCCGUAGUGGAGGUGACUUUCCUGCGCAGCGCCGCUCCUGAGGGCCGAGAACCCACAGGGAGUGCGACCCCUCUGCACGCUGUGAGUGGGCAAUGUUCGAGGGACUCGAGCCGAUCGAAGGUUGAGGAGCCGCUCGCCUGGGAGUGGGGAGUGGACGGCCUGGAAGAGCCGCCCCUCUUUGGUUUCUCUCUCCCGCCUGCAGUCCGCACCCCUCCGAGAUUCGUGCCCCACUGGACGGUUUGCGAAGGCUGAGGCUGCCUUGGGGACUCACAAAAGGCCACAGGGGUGAUUCGAUGUGUAAAUAGGGAAACAAUCAUCAGCACACAAUCCGGCUAAAGGGAUAACAUAUGAGUUUGCUUGUUGCCCCUCAUGGGAUUCUUCUCUUUUUAUAGCAGGACGCCCUGUAGUGCUCUUGGCGGUCCACGAAAAAGUUGGAAUCCGCCUCCUCAUUUCUCCGGUCGAGCACCAGGCAAAUACAAGCAGAGAGACCCGGAAAAAAAAAAUUAUGAAGACAGCAUUAAUGAUAAAAUUAACGUGGCUGAGUGGAUUGUCAAUGAAGAUGAAAUGAAAUGGUUCAAGACUGGAAUGCCAUUAUCUGCAUCUUGACACCUGGGAGAUAAUGAUGUCUCCUGCUUUACUCUACAGACCUACCACUUUUCUCUGCUUUAAAGGAAAAUCCAAACGCAGGAGACCUGUGCAUUCCUCUACAUAAUCAAGAGUCUGGUUUCUUCCAUAGGAGUGUAUGGAGUCAAAGUGGUAUUCUGUACAUGGCAUGGUGUGAUAGGUGGGAAUAUGAGCUACUGGGGGGAAAAGUUCCUUCUUCUAGCCACUUAUACAAAGAGAGGCCAUCUCAGUGUAAUCUGAAAAAAUGCUCACUUUAUAAUGCUGUAUCCAAGGCCCAUCAUAAACUAAAUGGAUGUAUUUCUACUAAAAGUUGGGGAAAGUUGAAUAGCUAAACCUCUGAAUAAAUCUUCUUAAUUUAGAAAAUAAAAUAGUAGAGCGUCAUUGUAAUACUUUUCAGUUCCUGGACAUUCAACUCCACGUCAUGGAUAAAUAAAAUAGUUAUUUGUCCAUUCAUUCAUUCAUUCAUUUGUACAUUAACAGACAGAGUGGUGAAAAACACUAAUGCUAUGUGUUAUUUACAGGUUUAAAAUACAAAAACAAAUUAUUUAAAAUGAUUCUUGCUCUAGAUGUAGUCUUUCAGAGCAGUAUUUUCCAACCUCGUCUGGUCAGUGAAGUCAUCUUAGCAGUUUCGAAAAAUAUUCAUGGCCAGGCGCGGUGGCUCAAGCCUGUAAUCCCAGCACUUUGGGAGGCCGAGGCGGGCGGAUCACGAGGUCAGGAGAUCGAGACCAUCCUGGCUAACAUGGUGAAACCCCGUCUCUACUAAAAAUACAAAAAACUAGCCGGGCGUGGUGGCGGGCGCCUGUAGUCCCAGCUACUCGGAGGCUGAGGCAGGAGAAUGGCGUGAACCUGGGAGGCGGAGCUUGCAGUGAGCCGAGAUCGCGCCACUGCACUCCAGUCUGGGUGACACAGCGCGAGACUCCGUCUCAAAAAAAAAAAAAAAAAAAAAGAAAAAUACUCAUGCCAGAGCCCCACCCACAUAGAUUCGGAUUCAGUUCUUUUGGGUAGGGCCUGAGCAUAGGAAUUUUUAAAAGCUCUCCAGUGGCUUUAAUUUUCAGAAAAGAUUGAGAAUCACUGGCCUAAAAGGAAAGAUAAGGCAGUCUAGAAGGAAAGAGUCUAAGGACAAAGGAAAUGUUAAAAGCAUGAAAUUAUAGUAGAUAGGCUGGGUUGUCACUUUGUCUUGGUCCCCAUAAGAGAACAUUGAAGAUCACCACUCCCAGAACCCCAUCACCUACACUGCAUUUUAGAGAUGGAGUUGGCAAUUUGCCCAUUUACUCUUGGUAAACUUGCAUGACUUGUAAAGGUCCAGGUUAUAGUUUAUUCAUCUGACCUAGGAACUUUAUGUACUCUAUUUACCAGAAAAUGAGUGCCUGUAAACAAAACGUCUCUUUACUAGUGCUGAUGUAAUACUAUCAGUACCUACUUGUGAAAUGUCUACUAUGUCAUGGACCUGUUCCUAAUUUCUUUGCAUUGAAUUUCGCUGUCUUAUUUAAUUUUCCAGAUUACUUUGGAAAGCCUCAUCAGUAAUUACAGACCACACGGAGCAUUUGAUUUUGUUGCCUCAACAUUGCCCAUCUUCAUUUUAAUUAUAGUUUCACUAAUUGCUAUGUUUUCAAAUUUAUACUUGUUUUCAGUGACCACAUUUUAUGUCUACUGAUUCUUUGUAUUAUGUAGGUUAAGUUCUAAAUCUUGUAGUAACGUCUCCAAAUCACAUAUAGAGUGCGUUACUUUGGAGAAAAUAGCUUUUAGACAGUUAAUCUUAUCUGUGAUUUACAAGAGUCUUAUAAAAAUUAUUCAACAAACCAUAGUACUUCCUGGCAGGUAUUCUUUGCUAGAUUUUGGAGUUAGUUUUUCUUCAGGGGUUGAAGCCCUCUAUAGAUGCACAUGAGAAUGAAAUAUUAUAUAGAGGGGUUGAUUUUGAAAUGCCAGAUAUUAAAACUAAAAUCAAAGCCUGCCAAAUUGUAUAACUAAAUUAAUAUUUAGCCCUUCACUGGCCUUUCUGACUUAACGGGCUAGUUUUCCAGUGACAGCUGAUGUCACAAUAUUUCUAGGGAAAAGGAAGCCUCAUUCUUUUAAAAUACGAUUCAUUUUAUACCUCAUAUGGCCCACCUAGGAUUUUAAGGCCUCAUUAGACAUGUGUAUACCCAAUGAGGUUACAGGGUGAAGGAGCUAUUUGUUUCCUUAGAAUCUAGCCAAUCUUGAGUGCUACACAUUUUAGAUUCAAAAGGAUAUCAUUAAUGGUUUUGAUGGGAAAUGUUUACAUGUUCUCAAUUUACCAGUUAGUAUUUACUGUUGUCCAGGGUUACUUAACAUUUUUCUAAAGUAAUUUAAAUAUAAAAUGGAAUGAUAUGCAAUAAGUAAUAUCUUUCAAUGGAAGAACGCAGAGUACUGAAGUUUAUUUCCUGGGGAGACUAGUGAGAAAUGACUAGAUUGUAACUCUUUCAACCAGAAAAUAAAGGAUUUCAGAAUGAUGAGGAAAGUUUGAAGGAAAUGAUACAGGUCCACAGAUAGCUCACAUGGUACUAAAUGACUCAUAAAAUGCAGUAUUUUUAACAUAAUUUGGGAAGUGUGCCAUGCUUGUACAUCUCACCAUUGAGUGUGGUACAGUACUUUGAUCUUCAACAAUAUACAACAUUUGUGACAUAAUAGCUAUAAUAGGACUAUUCAGCUAUUUUACACGGCAAUAAUCCAGUCCUCUCUCAUCAGGAUAAACUGUGAGGACAAAUCCUUUCAAAAUCAGAAUUAGUUCCUUGUAGAAAAGUGAGGCUACAAUUAUCCCUUAAAUAGGAGCAGCUGCAACAUGGUAUCGGCCUGGAGCGUGGCAGUGAAGUGUUUUUCCAAUGCAAUUAAAUGGAUUUUUUAAUGCAAACUAAUAUUCUAUAAAAAGUCAAUUGGUAGGGGAGUAGGUGUGGAAUUGCUGAGAUGAAAGAAACAAUCAUUUUGCUUACCUGAGUUAAUAUUCCUGCCUUUAGUAAAUGAUAUUUUGGUGAGAAUGGAUAAUCAAGGCUCAUAUUUUCCUGUGAAGUGGGGCCCAAAAGAGAACCAGAAUAAUACAAAGGAAAGAUAAUUCUGGUUUAUUUCUACACUCUAUGUCUUAUUUUGAAAUGGAGUCACAGCCAUAUUUUGAUAUUGUUUUUCAAAAAGGUAUAAUGAGUGAACAGUAACAUUUCAAUUUAAACAGCAAAGGUAAUACUGGGGUGGAAAAAUAUAAAGAGAGCUCACAGGACCUAUAUUAGUCAGUGCCCACAUCCAGAAUGAGACAAAGAGGAAUGGGAACUUAAAUUUCUUACCGCAGAGAUGAUUAAAGGAUCAGAAAAUAAGACCUUUAAGAAAGAUUAAAGGACCUGUCUAGGGAGAACAAUACUGAGAGGCAAUGUAAGUCUUCAAGUCAUAUAUAUCCAGAGCUGUUUCACAAGCAACAGGGAAAGAAAACCUCCACUGAAGAUACAACAUGAGGAAUUGGAUUGUAAUACUAGAACAUGGAGAACUCAGCCCACACGAAAAUAAUUUUUCCUAGCGUAAGCUUAAAUGUAUUGCCAAAGGAGAGGUGUCGGCUGUCAGUAGGACUGAUUUAAAAAUCUCUGCAACCAAAGUUUGUGAAGUCACCUGUGCAUCCACUGACACCCUUCUUGAGUAUGCUUUCCUUACAUAAGAUCGAGUAGGCUGAGAGUUUGAACUUAGCCCCGAUUAUCUAAAAGACAUGUACUCAUAAAUUUUCGAUAACGUAUAGAGAAGUUUAGCCAGAUGUGAGCUAAAUAAUAUCUUACGGUUCUUUGAAGUCAACAAAUGCUUCUCUUUAUAUUAUGACUUGUUGAUGAAAAUUUUCAACGACUUUCGUUACACACAAAAAUAACACAUCUGAUUUUGCAGGCAAAAUGUAAGAUAUGACAAAACUAAAAAGCAAAAUAACUAAUACAUUUUUAGAGUGUUACAUUUGUAAAAGGAUAGUCUCACAUGAUAGGGAUGGUGUUUUGGAUGACCUCAGAGCCAAAGAUAAAACAAAAGGAGUCCUCCUGCCUUACUGUCAUAUAUUUUAAUGCAUAUCAUUCACUAAGUCAAAAUUCACACAUUUUUAAGACAACAAGAAAUACGCAAGACUCCCAAUCAGACUGAUGGCUGUUGCUGAAUUCUGGAUUCUCCCAUGAAAUCUUCCAGGGUUGAGCAGGUAAAUGUGACUCUGCACCCUCCCCUUACCCGAUCUCCCCCAGGAAUAGGUACUAUUUCCUUCCACUAAAAAUCCACUUAUGCUUGACGUUUAUAUAAUGUGAUUAGCUAUCUACUCAUGUAUUGUUUUAAUGUUUCCAUUUUAUACCUAAUGGCUUUUGAAUAUGUCUGUCUCUAUUAAUAUGUUUGAUACUGAUUAUAGGCUCCUAGAAGGAAGGGGCAGAAUCUCUUUGAACCCGACUUUGAAUCUCUUCAAUAGGAUAUAUGACCCCCAUGUAUCAUCAGUUCCUUAAAUAUUACUCUUUCCAAGAAGACAAAUGCUUCUGAAUUGUGUUUCUCCCAAAUUCAAUUCACUUGUUGAAGCUCCAACUCUGACGUGAUGGUAUCUGGAGAUGGGAAUUUGAAAAUUAGGUAUAGAUGAGGUUCAUGAGGAUGAGGCCACCAGGGUGGAAUUAGAGCCCUUAUAAGAAAAGACACCAGAGAGAUUGCCUUCUCUCUCCCUGACAUGUGAAAACACAGAAGGUGGCCGUCUACAAGCCAGGAAGAGGGCCCACCCCAGAAACACGUGAUGCUGACAACUUGAUCUUGGAUUUUCAGGCUCCAGGACUGUGGGAAAAUAAAUUCCUGUGGCUUCCAGCCUCCAGGACUGUGAGAUAAAUAAAUUUUCCCAGUCUAUGGUAUUUUUUUAUAACAGCC